rnacentral:rRNA from 1 species
UACGUAGGUGGCAAGCGUUGUCCGGAAUUAUUGGGCGUAAAGCGCGCGCAGGCGGCUUCUUAAGUCUGAUGUGAAAUCUCGGGGCUCAACCCCGAGCGGCCAUUGGAAACUGGGAAGCUUGAGUACAGAAGAGGAGAGUGGAAUUCCACGUGUAGCGGUGAAAUGCGUAGAUAUGUGGAGGAACACCAGUGGCGAAGGCGACUCUCUGGUCUGUAACUGACGCUGAGACGCGAAAGCGUGGGGAGCAAACAGG